CGGGCCGCCCRGAGCGCKCCCAAGCKCGAAAGCUCUGUUGUUAAAGAAGAAAGGRAGAGAUUAACUGUUCAUACGUUGACGGUAUUUAACCAGAAARRCASGGCUAACUACGUGCCAGCAGCCGCGGUAAUACGUAGGUGGCAAGCGUUAUCCGGAUUUAUUGGGCGUAAAGAGAGUGCAGGCGGUUUUCUAAGUCUGAUGUGAAAGCCUUCGGCUUAACCGGAGAAGUGCAUCGGAAACUGGAUAACUUGAGUGCAGAAGAGGGUAGUGGAACUCCAUGUGUAGCGGUGAAAU
rnacentral:rRNA from 1 species